rnacentral:rRNA from 1 species
CCUACGGGUGGCUGCAGUCGAGAAUCAUUCACAAUGGGGGAAACCCUGAUGGUGCGACGCCGCGUGAGGGAAUGAAGGUCUUCGGAUUGUAAACCCCUUUCAUGUGGGAGCAAAUUAAAAAGAUAGUACCACAAGAGGAAGAGAUGGCUAACUCUGUGCCAGCAGCCGCGGUAAUACAGAGGUCUCAAGCGUUAUCCGGAUUCACUGGGCGUAAAGCGUGCGUAGGCUGUUUCGUAAGUCGGGUGUGAAAGGCGCGGGCUCAACCCGCGGACGGCACAUGAUACUGCGAGACUAGAGUAAUGGAGAGGGAAGCGGAAUUCUCGGUGUAGCAGUGAAAUGCGUAGAUAUCGCGAGGAACACUCGUGGCGAAGGCAGGUUCCUGGACAUUAACUGACGCUGAGGCACGAAGGCCAGGGGAGCGAAAGGGAUUAGAUACCCUUGUAGUC